AAGUCGUAACAAGGUCUCCGUUGGUGAACCAGCGGAGGGAUCAUUACUGAGUUACCGCUCUAUAACCCUUUGUGAACAUACCUAACUGUUGCUUCGGCGGGCAGGGGGUGCCGCCUGCGGACCCCCCUCCCGGCCCUGCCCUCACGGGCGGAGCGCCCGCCGGAGGAUACCAAACUCUAUUUUAACGACGUUUCUUCUGAGUGGCACAAGCAAAUAAUUAAAACUUUCAACAACGGAUCUCUUGGUUCUGGCAUCGAUGAAGAACGCAGCGAAAUGCGAUAAGUAAUGUGAAUUGCAGAAUUCAGUGAAUCAUCGAAUCUUUGAACGCACAUUGCGCCCGCCAGCAUUCUGGCGGGCAUGCCUGUUCGAGCGUCAUUUCAACCCUCAAGCUCUGCUUGGUGUUGGGGCCCUACGGUUGACGUAGGCCCUUAAAGGUAGUGGCGGACCCUCUCGGAGCCUCCUUUGCGUAGUAACUAACGUCUCGCACUGGGAUUCGGAGGGACUCUUGCCGUAAAACCCCCAAAUUUUUAAAGGUUGACCUCGGAUCAGGUAGGAAUACCCGCCGAACUUAA
rnacentral:rRNA from 1 species